rnacentral:tRNA from 1 species
AACAAAAUGUAGCUUAAUUAUAAAGCUUUUCGUUUACACCGAAAUGUCAUCUGUUAAACCCAGAUCAUUUU